GACGAACGCUGGCGGCGUGCCUAAUACAUGCAAGUAGAACGCACAGUUUAUACCGUAGCUUGCUACACCAUAGACUGUGAGUUGCGAACGGGUGAGUAACGCGUAGGUAACCUGCCUGGUAGCGGGGGAUAACUAUUGGAAACGAUAGCUAAUACCGCAUAAUAUUAAUUAUUGCAUGAUAAUUAAUUGAAAGGUGCAAUUGCACCACUACCAGAUGGACCUGCGUUGUAUUAGCUAGUAGGUGAGGUAACGGCUCACCUAGGCGACGAUACAUAGCCGACCUGAGAGGGUGAUCGGCCACACUGGGACUGAGACACGGCCCAGACGCCUACGGGAGGCAGCAGUAGGGAAUCUUCGGCAAUGGACGAAAGUCUGACCGAGCAACGCCGCGUGAGUGAAGAAGGUUUUCGGAUCGUAAAGCUCUGUUGUAAGAGAAGAACGGGUGUGAGAGUGGAAAGUUCACACUGUGACGGUAGCUUACCAGAAAGGGACGGCUAACUACGUG
rnacentral:rRNA from 1 species